CAACUUUUAUGGUAGUAUGCCAUUUGUUAUUCCUUUUGUUUUCAACUAUUCUUAUUGAAAUGUUAGUACCUAUGACUCAUCAAUUAUGCCAAUAGGCCAUUGACAGAACUUACCCAUGCUUUGGAAGUUUGGCAGUGAUUGCAAUUGCAAAUUAAAACCUUUCAAUGGGUAUGGCAAGAAAAAAAAAAUUAAUUAUGGUUUUGGAAAAUAUGUCUGCAUCACUUGCAUGUUCUAUUCAUUUGUGCUAUUGCAGAUUUUGUGCUUUUUUCUUACAGAAAACAUGUUGUUAUUGUUUGAUUAUUGAAAGAACAAGGUAAAAAUUGACUUAUAACAUAGUCCAAUUAUUUGAAGAUGGUAUAGAGCAUCUUGGAUGUGGACUAAUGGGAAUUUGUGCUCCAAUUCAACAUUCUAGUCUUGUUUGGUAUUAUUGGUGUUACUGAUAAGUGCUUGGAGGCCCUGUCAAGGUUCUGCUCAAACACACUUACAACCCUCGAUGUGAAUGGAUGCAUUGGCAUCAAG